ACCGGAGCUAAUACCGGAUAAUAUUUUGAACCGCAUGGUUCAAAAGUGAAAGACGGUCUUGCUGUCACUUAUAGAUGGAUCCGCGCUGCAUUAGCUAGUUGGUAAGGUAACGGCUUACCAAGGCAACGAUGCAUAGCCGACCUGAGAGGGUGAUCGGCCACACUGGAACUGAGACACGGUCCAGACUCCUACGGGAGGCAGCAGUAGGGAAUCUUCCGCAAUGGGCGAAAGCCUGACGGAGCAACGCCGCGUGAGUGAUGAAGGUCUUCGGAUCGUAAAACUCUGUUAUUAGGGAAGAACAUAUGUGUA
rnacentral:rRNA from 1 species